CCUAAAUUGCGAUCGCGGACGUCGUCCACGAGCCACGGAAGUUUUUGGAGAGGGAAACGAAAAAUACACAAUCGAAAUCUAUACACCCAUAGAGAAAUAUAAAGAAUACCCGAAGACCAUAAUAUGUCACUAUUAUUUGCACACACGGCUCUUAAGGAGUUGUUCUGGUUUGGACGGUAUACCUGCACUAAGAAUAAUAUAGGUCAUGAGCAUAGCACACAGGAGACAGUUCAACAAUGGUUUUAUUCAAAAAUAAUAAUAGUCUUUUGAUCGGAACGUAAAGCGAAUGUAACAAUAAAUGAAAAUACGUACCAUAAUCGAACUUCUAUCCAGAAAUCAGAUGUAGGU